ACUUUUUUCAGUUAAAGUACUCUUUUCAUGUAUCACCGUAUUCAAUGUGCUGGUUUUUUCCAUGACUGCUCAACAAGAUGCAACUUUUUGAAAUGAUAACGCGGUUCUAAUGAGAAACAAUCCUAAUGAAUCAACUCUUAUUGAUACUUGCAGUUCCACAGAGCUUCUCAUAGUGAGAUACUUUCGAUGAUAAAUGACAAUCAGAGAUGAAAAGGACACCUUAAUCAGAAAAACAACCAGUGCAGUACCCUAUUGAGAUUUGAGGCUAAGGAUUCCCCUAAAAGUGAAAACCACAUGAUUAGGAAGAAAAGAAGGCUCAUACAUGAACAAAAGUCUUCUAACUCUUGGAACUAUGCAUAUUCAAUCGAAAUCAAGAAAGUUCGUGGAAAGCUAGAAGAAAGGUCUGCGAAAUGAAGCAGUCUAUGGGGAAAAGAUGAUAUUAAAGAUCCAGUUGGUAACAAUUUCUAUCAGAGCCCAGGUUCGCGGAACGAGUAUAACCAUCACAGAGAGAUGGUGCGGGCCUUGUUUGGAGACGCGCACACAAGAAGAAGCUAGUUGCGGGCUUCAAUUGUCAUAAUACUCUAAUGAUAUGGGUGACACAUAGUAAAUCUUUGGAAAUUUACUCGUCAAUUGUGGUAAUGAGGCACAUAGAACUUAGUUCAUGGGAGACUGUUGAGUAUGUGAACAAAGUCCCAUAUUGAUAGUUGAAAAAAUUGUGACUGAACAUAUA